rnacentral:rRNA from 1 species
UACGUAGGGGCCUAGCGUUGUCCGGAUUUAUUGGGCGUAAAGAGCUCGUAGGCGGUUCGGCAAGUCGGAUGUGAAAUCUCCACGCUUAACGUGGAGGGGCCAUUCGAAACUGCCGUGACUCGAGUCCGGUAGGGGAGUGUGGAAUUCCCGGUGUAGCGGUGAAAUGCGCAGAUAUCGGGAGGAACACCCGCAGCGAAGGCGGCCGGCUGGGCCAACCCUGACGCUGAGGCGCGAAGGCUCGGGGAGCGAACGGG